rnacentral:tRNA from 1 species
GGGGACGUAGCUCAGACGGGAGAGCGCCUGCUUUGCAAGCAGGAAGUCAGGGGUUCGAGUCCCCUCGUCUCCA